GUGGGGAAUAUUGGACAAUGGGGGGAACCCUGAUCCAGCCAUGCCGCGUGUGUGAAGAAGGCCUUUUGGUUGUAAAGCACUUUAAGCGAGGAGGAGGCUACCGAGAUUAAUACUCUUGGAUAGUGGACGUUACUCGCAGAAUAAGCACCGGCUAACUCUGUGCCAGCAGCCGCGGUAAUACAGAGGGUGCAAGCGUUAAUCGGAUUUACUGGGCGUAAAGCGCGCGUAGGUGGCCAAUUAAGUCAAAUGUGAAAUCCCCGAGCUUAACUUGGGAAUUGCAUUCGAUACUGGUUGGCUAGAGUAUGGGAGAGGAUGGUAGAAGUCCAGGUGUAGCGGUGAAAUGCGUAGAGAUCUGGAGGAAUACCGAUGGCGAAGGCAGCCAUCUGGCCUAAUACUGACACUGAGGUGCGAAAGCAUGGGGAGCAAACAGGAUUAGAUACCCCAGUAGUCC
rnacentral:rRNA from 1 species